GUAGAUAUAGUUUAACAAAAACGCUAGAUUGUGAUUCUAAAAACAGAGGUUAGACCCCCCUUAUCCACC
rnacentral:tRNA from 1 species